ensembl:lncRNA
AUCUCCCUCUGAGCCGGGAUGUGGGGUCGCAGGUCAAGCAGGAACCGGAGGAGAAGCCCAUCAAGGAGGAGCCCUUGUCCCCUGGGAGUCCCGCCGAUGAGUCUUUUAUUCCGGUCUGUAUCAAGCAAGAGGAAGAGGAGCAGGAGCAGAGCAUGGAAGACCAGCCAUACCUGGUUUACUUCGCAGACCACAGCCGGCAUCUCGCAAGGUCCGCCGCAGAGCAGGGCGAGGUCCCGCCGACGGGGUCUUCCGAGUCGUCGUGCGGGAAGGACCCCGAGCCCAAGGAUGCGGAGGUGCAGGGCUGCCUGGCGCACUGCGGCAUGUGCAACCAGAGCGUGUCCAACCGGGAGACGCUGGGCGACCACCAGUACAGCCGCAAGCGCAAGUUCCACUGCACGGAGUGCAACCGCAGCUUCGCCUUCCAGGGCCAGCUCUCGCAGCACAUGCUGGUGCACCUGCAAGGGAUCCAGCUGCACUGCGACCACUGCAACCUGUGCUUCUCCAGCCAGAAGGCCCUGGCGGUGCACAAGCGCGUCCACCUCCUGGACUGGCCCCUCCACUGCUCCAUCUGCAACUGCAGCUUCUCGGACGCGGCCAGCUUCGACCACCACCAGCAGAGCCACGGGCCGGGCCAGGUGCGCCGCUGCCUGGAGUGCAACGUCUACUUCACGGACUCGCUGGCGCUGCAGGAGCACAAGCGCACCCACGCCGAGGACUGGCCCUUCCGCUGCGCCCAGUGCGACCGGACCUUCGUGCACGAGGGCCUGCUGCGCGAGCACCUCCUCAACCACAGCCGCACGCGCAGCCGGCGCUGCCACAUCUGCGGCUCCUGGCUCUCCUACCGCGGCAUGGAGCUCAGCGAGGGGCAGCUCUACUACUGCCGCAAGUGCAAAACCUCCUGCCACGUCCAAGGCAGCCCCGGGGCAGUGGCGGCAGCGGCAGCGUGCAACCCGGACAAGGACAGCGCUUAGGGUCCCUGCUCGGUCCUAUAGGUCACAGCCCCAUCCUCCUCGCAUCCUAGUAUCCCGUUAUGUGUUUCAAUGCACAUCCCCACACGUCACAGUCUGGUUUUCGCCCUUCCUGGAUGCCUUUCUCUGCAUCCCAAGAGGACAGAAGCAACCCAAGCGAGGGAAAUACAUAGGCCACUCUCUGUUCUGUAGGUCACAGCCCUAUCCCUUAUCAGACCCCACAUUCUGGUAUGUGUUUCAAAACAGGGAAUCCUGUUUUGAUCCCAAGACAAGGAAGCACUAUUCCGUUGCCUUCAAGAAAGGGCUCGUAGAGGCCUUCCAGGACAAGAACCUGAUGGCUUUCUGCAAAGAGAAGAAGCUGGGUCUCCGGAUGGUCCGGAGAUGGUGCGCCGAGUAUGACGAGGGGAACACCGAGCAGCGCAAGUGCAGAGGGUCAAUCCGGCAGCCCUUGUUUCCUGAGCUGGAAGCCCUCCCCUGUGGAUGGACGGCCAAGCAGAGAGCAAAGUCCUUGGUGGUGCGCAGGAUUGGCAUCCAGGCGUUUGUCUUUGCAGUGGCCCCGUAGUUGGAAAUAUCCCCAAAAGACCUCAAAGCCUUGCAACCCUGGCUGGAUGGCUUCCUCCAGAAAUACAGACUGUCUCUUAGGAAGAUGGACAGCACUGCUCAAGAGGGAAGAUGAUGGAGUGACUGAGCGUGCCCUUGCACUCAAGACCUUUGUGGCUGGCCUCGACUUUGCUAUAUAACAAUAAAUAUAUUACUCCCCUAUCCCUGCAGCUCGAGGCGGGACACAACAUCAUGUAAACAAGAGAUUAAACACUAUUAAAAUCACAGCCAACAGGAUAGACAAAGUGAAAAUACAAGUUAAAAUCCGAUUUUUUUUUUCCGUGUUGGGAGCAACCGGAGUUGCUCUGGAGUGAGAGAAUUGGCCGUCUGCAAGGACGUUGCCCAGGGGACGUUGCCCGGAUGUUUUACCAUCCUUGUGGGAGGCUUCUCUCAUGUCCCCGCAUGGAGCUGGAGCUCAGAGAGGGAGCUCAUCCACACUCUCCCCGGGUGGGAUUUGAACCUGGCAGCUUUCAGAUCAGCAGCCCAACCUUCAAGUCGCGAGGCUUUUAUCCCCUAGGCCACUGGAGGCUCCAACAGGAUAGACAAAGUGAAAAUACAAGUUAAAAUCCGAUAAAAUGCAGAUUAAAAUUCACAAUUUGAACAGACUGGGUAGGCCUUGGGCUGGAAGAGAUGGGUCUUCAGUUGCAUCUUCAAUUUCGACAGCUGAUUUAGCUGUCUGAUCUCUUCCAGGUCAUUCUAGGCUUCUUGAGGAGGCCAUCCUGUAGGCAACCUGGAGGGUUUUCAAGAUCAAAACCAACACUUUGUACUUUGCCCGGAAACUAAUUAACAGCCAGUGGAGUGACUUUAGGAUUAGUGCAAUAUUCUCAUUCCUAGGUGUUCCUGUAACCAGUCUGGUUGCUGUAUUUUGAACCAGCUGGAGUCUCCAAACUUGGUACUCCAGAUGGACGCCUUGCAGGAGUCCAACCUUGAGGUUCUCACCAUCUUUGUCUUCCAAAUCAAGGAAGGGGCGCAGCUGGCGCAUUGGCUGAAGCCGAUCAUAAGCACUCCUGACCAUGGUUGCAUCUGCCUGGGCUGACCUUUGGAGAGACAGAUCCAGGAUCCUUUGUCCCAAGCUGCCUCCAGAUGAUCUCCCAGCAGUUUCAUGGGACAGAGUGGUCCCUUAUGGGAUGAUGCCAGAUAACUGCUCCAGUAGGCUGUUUGGAAUUGUGGGAGUUGAAGUCCAAAACACCUGGAAGGCCAAAGCUUGCCCCAUGCCUUUGCUACAGGAAACCGAAUCCCAAGGAAUUCAACCCGGACUUUGGUAUUUAAUAAUGUUCCAGAAGAAAUUGACAUGACUGUAUUUCAAUAAAUGUAGGUUGUUGUACAUGAAUAAAUGUAGAUUGUUGUGCAUCCCGCAAAAAUAAUGUGUCUUUUGCAGAAAAAAAUUAAUAUAAGACCCGGUCUUAGUUUUGGGAAAAUACCGUAGAAUCCUAGAGUUGGGAGGGACUCCAGUGGUCACCUGGUCCAAUCCCUUUCGUAGGAAGACAAUCCAAUCCCUCAAAACAGAUGGCCAUUGUGAUUCCAGUAAAGGGUUACUUGUCCCUUGGCAAUUGUUCGCCCCUGAUGUAUGGAUACGGAUUGUUGUUGGUUGAUCUACUGUAGAAUCAUAAGAUUGGGCAAGCUUUCCAAUAUUUAAAGAUGACUCUUAAAAUACGAGGGUUAUCCAGAAAGUAGAUUACGUUUUGGAAUUAAAGAUGAAUAAAGUAUAGGAGAAAACGUUUACCAUAUGCAGUUGAAAGCCAUACCCAAAUACCACUUCUCAACAUAGUCGCCAUUCAAAUCUAGGCACUUAUCAUAGUGCUGAAUGAGCUUGGCAACUCCUUCCCCACAAAACUCUGCCGCUUGCGUCCUCAAAAAGUAUAGGAGAAAACAUUUACCAUAUGCAGUUGAAAGCCAUACCCAAAUACCACUUCUCAACAUAGUUGCCAUUAACAUCUAAGCACUUAUCAUAGUGAUGAAUGAGCUUGGCAACUCCUUCCCCACAAAACUCUGCCGCUUGCGUCCUCAAAAAGUAUAGGAGAAAACAUUUACCAUAUGCAGUUGAAAGCCACACCCAAAUACCACUUCUCAACAUAGUUGCCAUUAACAUCUAAGCACUUAUCAUAGCGAUGAAUGAGCUUGGCAACUCCUUCCCCACAAAACUCUGCCGCUUGCGUCCUCAAAAAGUAUAGGAGAAAACAUUUACCAUAUGCAGUUGAAAGCCAUACCCAAAUACCACUUCUCAACAUAGUUGCCAUUAACAUCUAAGCACUUAUCAUAGCGAUGAAUGAGCUUGGCAACUCCUUCCCCACAAAACUCUGCCGCUUGCGUCCUCAACACAGCAUUUUGGCAACGAUGCGCAGCUGCAGAAAGGGGUGACCAGCUGGUUGAGGACGCAAGCGGCAGAGUUUUGUGGGGGAAGGAGUUGCCAAGCUUAUUCAUGCCUAGAUUUGAUGGGGGAAAAAGGUUGAGAAGAGGGAUUUCGGUGUGUGCUUU